GACGAACGCUGGCGGCGUGCUUAACACAUGCAAGUCGAACGAAGUGGCGAACGGGUGAGUAACGCGGGAUCAACCUGCCCUUCAGAGGGGGACAACAGGUGGCAACGACUGCUAAUACCUCAUACUGAAGGAGGGGAUUACGUCUGAUUAGCUAGUUGGAGGGGUAACGGCCCACCAAGGAGAUGAUCAGUAGCCGGUCGUAGAGGAUGAACGGCCACAUUGGGACGGAGACACGGCCCAGACUCCUACGGGAGGCAGCAGUGGGGAAUCUUCCGAAAUGGACGAAAGUCUGACGGAGCAACGCCGCGUGAGUGAUGACGGCCUUCGGGUUGUAAAGCUCUGUUAAGCGGGACGCGGUACCGGAAUAGAAAGCCACGGCUAACUACGUGCCAGCAGCCGCGGUAAUUC
rnacentral:rRNA from 1 species